AUACGGAGGGUGCAAGCGUUACUCGGAAUCACUGGGCGUAAAGCGCGCGCAGGCGGGCUGAUAAGUUGGAUGUGAAAACCUACGGCUCAACCGUAGAACUGCAUCCAAAACUGUCAGUCUAGAGUGUGGAAGAGGAAGAUGGAAUUAGUUGUGUAGGGGUAAAAUCCGUAGAGAUAACUAGGAAUACCAAAAGCGAAGGCAAUCUUCUGGAACACUACUGACGCUGAGGCGCGAAGGCGUGGGGAGCAAACAGGAUUAGAAACCCCAGUAGUCC
rnacentral:rRNA from 1 species